rnacentral:rRNA from 1 species
UACGGAGGUGGCAAGCGUUGUUCGGAAUUAUUGGGCGUAAAGCGCGCGCAGGCGGUCUUUUAAGUCUGAUGUGAAAGCCCACGGCUCAACCGUGGAGGGUCAUUGGAAACUGGAAGACUUGAGUGCAGAAGAGAAGAGCGGAAUUCCACGUGUAGCGGUGAAAUGCGUAGAGAUGUGGAGGAACACCAGUGGCGAAGGCGGCUCAUUGGACUGUAACUGACGCUGAGGCGCGAAAGCGUGGGGAGCAAACAGG